AGUGUGGAGGUAAAAGCAUUCCUCGAUCUGCUUCUAUCACAACCGUGUCCCUGCAAAACAGAAGACUCUUGUUGAGGAUAUCUGGGUUGUUCCAGAUGGGUGUGCGGUCACAUGGAAAAAGAGUCCCAUGAGGAAACCCAUCUCCCAUUCAAAAGACAUCUGGCAUAAAAGUUUAGAGCUGAAUGACUUACACACAGAUGAAAAAUGAAACAAAGCUACAAGAGCACACAGAAAGAAAAUAAAAACUAGCAAACGGGCCAGAUGGAUGGAUGAUGCAUGAGUAGAAUAUAUUGCAAAGGAGAAAGAAAUCUGGAAGGUCGGUGAAUUGAUCCUUGAGUCGAUUUCUUUUCUUUUUUUGACGGGAAAGAACUUCUGAGUAAUCACACAAACAAUUGUGAAGCAUAUGACGUAAGCAGAGCAACACUUUUCCCGUCAAUCCAGCAGUACAUGUUAAUCAGAGGUGUUCCUCCCUUCAAAUCCACCAUGAGCACCUUGGAGCACACACUUGGAGCGUCCACUGGAAAGCAGCUGGCAUCACUUCCCAGUAAUCCUUAAUUUCAGCAAGGAGCCACAGCAAACUCCAGCGAGAUGAGGCCCGUAAAUCCAGCAGAGUGUCAGGAAAAGCAGGAUAGCACAACCCCACACAGUCACAAACAUGUUCUGGAUUAACCUCUGCCAUCGCUUCAGUCAGUAUGUCUGCGGGGAUGGAAUCACUUGGAGCUGUCUGGCUCAGGAAGCUGGGAGUCGUGCUUUGGUUGCUGUAAACACAGACACGAUUUCCUAACGAGAAGCUGUGGACGUGACGCCGCUGACUUCCAUUUCUCGUACAGAGUUGUGAAAUUUUCACAUGUAGAUUUUUAUUAUUGACCAACUGCUGCUUCCCAUCUGUCAUUACGUGUCUUUAAUGGUCAAAUUCAAAGCAGAACGAUGAAAUUUGCUCCAAACAAGCUCAGCACGCCCAAAUGGUAUGUGGUUUUGUCCGUUGCAUUUCCUGAAAGAGCUGGAGUGCAUAUUUUGACAGUACAUGAAUAAAUUACAGGGGCAAGAUCUUUAUGUUCUGAGAAUGACUUAAAAGACUAACGAAAGACAUUAAAAACAAACCAUGGAGAAGAUUAAAAAAAAACAAAAAACAACUGUUCCGGGACGCAAACUUUUCUGGUGGUCCCUCACAUUAAACAGCCACUAACGCGAAUGCGAACACACAGACACAAACAAGAUUUGAUUGGGAUUGGCACGAGAAUGGAUGCUUUCCUUAUUUUUCUCCGCAUGGGAUCUUGGUUCAUUUCGUUUUGGGGGAAUAAAUUCUCACACUUGGAUGGGUAGCGGGAAGCGCUGGAAGGUGAUUAAGGGCUCCCUGUGGAGAGAGACACAGGAAACUGAGUUUACCGUGUGUGUGGCUGCACUGAGAUCAGACUCCUGUAGGCUCAAAACGCAUGUUUUUGUCUUCAAUGCAGCAUGCACUUAUGUAAUGCUAAGAUCCUGAAAGGCUCUAAAGCACACCUUUCAACUCCAUUUCACAGCAGAUUCACAUGAUUAAACUUAAGCACUAGUUUAUUAAGCACAUGCUCUCCAUCUAGUGAACCAAGUGUUUAUUUUGUACAAAUUUCUACAAAUUUAAAAUCCUGCUGCACUACACUAGAGAGUAAAUACGUCUUCGUUGCAGGAACGGCUUCACCAUUUGUGGGAAACAAAAGCCAAACUUCACCAAGUGUGAAUUUUAAAGGCCCAAACAUCUGCCAAGUCAAAACCAAGCAAGGUCCAGUUUGAGUGAAGACAGCUUUAGAUUCUUAACUUUUAUAUAUCUAUGUAAAUGUUGAGACCAAGCUGGAGGUUAUUAUGAGGUUUGUUUGAGUCCUGCUUGAGAGAGGAUAUACAGUACUUAAGAGUUAGAAAACAGCAGUGGCUGUUUUUAACAAGGGAUGAUUUGGUGACGCACAGAUUUAAAUCUCCUGCAUAAAUGAAUGUGGCUUUCUGUUCAGACUCGUGGUUACUAUGACCUACGAUGACUGAGAUUCUACACAAACACCCUCAAUCAAAAGUUGCUUAGUGUAAUUUAGACACGGUGUCAACAAAUUGUUUGUCCAGCUGAGUCACUUUGACUCAGCCAGUUAGAAUAACUUCAGAUGUCUGCAGACCACAUGGCACAGGAUGCCUCGCAGCUGAGAAGACGAUGGUGCUGAGUCAAGAGAUGUUGUCAUAGUAAGCAGCUGACCAAAUACAUUCUUGGAAAAACUAUUUAUACCUUUUAUACUAAAGUGUUACAAUUUAUGGAUAAGCUGCAGACACUUUAAAUGAUGGAUGACCAGACUUCCUGUCUCCUCAGUGCUCAUUUUCCGAUCCCGCAAGCAUCUGUUGCCUCAACGCCAGCAGUACGUGGCCACCAAUAAUCCAUAUUCAGGUUCCUCCUGGUCCAAUACCGAGGGUUUCCCAGGCCAACUGAGAAGUGUAAUCUCUGCGGCAUGUCCUGAUUCCUGGGGCCUUCUUCCAGUUGGACAUGUCCACAACACUUCACCAGGGAAGCACCACAAUCAAAAGGGUGAUGGAAAAUUCAACCGUGGCCAAUUGAUUAAACCAAAACUGCUGAGAGCAGCAAAAUAAUAGCCUUGGCCCGGCUAAAUGUAGACUGGUAGUCUGCUCAAAAAAGAUUAACACUGACCUUAAAGAUGUUUUUGUCUACUCGGAUCGUAAGAAAGAAUCAUCCUUUGUGGCUUAAAAUCAUUGUGCUUCCUUUGUUUCAUUGUCAUUCUGAAUCAAGACACCUCAUGUAUGUUCUGACCCUUUUGCA